AUGGCAGAAGCUGAAGACAAUGUCACAGCUACCUCCCUUAACUGCUGCUGGCAGCAAAGGACUUACUCUAGAGGUCUCCCCAAAGCAAGCACCUCAGACCCCCCUUAUUCCACUGUAGUUUCCUGGGACACAGGAUCCUGCUGGCAACAUCAAGAAAAUUCUGACAUCCUACUAAAGGCUGUGGGACAUGUUCCUAUUAUGAAAACAAAGAAGCAGGCAGUAGAGUGAACUCGAACCAUCCAAAGACUCCUUGACUUCAUCAAAAAAGUUCCUUAAACUUGCAACCUCAGUUGUUUAUUUAUGUGAGUCAGGCUUUUGCUCUUUCCCUGGACCAGGAAUUUGGAACCUUCUAUGAGUGUUUCAGCAGUGAUGGUAAACUAGUUCUACAUUACUGCAAAUCUCAGGCAUGGGAAUGA
rnacentral:lncRNA from 1 species